UAAAAACUUAAAAGAAGAGAGAGAUUAGGUGUUAUUGUUGGUUUUUAUAUAGAAAAUUCAAGUGGUCCUUCUGCCCUUGGAACACAACUGGAAGUCUUAUGUCAAAUAUCAACCUGUUGUUCCAAGUGCUAAAUUCUCAAGUCGCCACAGUUUUGCUUAGAAGCCAUACUGCUGUAGCCUUUGUUCACUAAUGCACUCUAAGUUCUUGUUCUUGGUUAAGAAAUAUCAUGACAUGUUUGGACUUGGAGCAAAAUAUCAGUUAGUUAUUCCACAUCAUGAAAUGCAAGAUGAGAAAGGCUGUUCCUAAUGCAUAAGACUGCCAUCUAUGUGAGUGUUGGGACUUGGGAGGUCUAUCAGAUUUGGUGAAAUAACACUUAGUUAUUUCAAGCAGGGUAUUAAAUAUACAUAUCAGCUAGCAUGUGACAAAAUUUUUGGCUUUUUGGCUGUGUGAUGUGAUAUUCAUAUACACUCCCACUAAUUUGGAACUCAUAGUGAAACAGCUAUAUAUCAGGCGUAAUUGCUGUUGCUUCCCAUUUUAGUAACAUUGAAAUGGCUGAAAUGGAUCUUCAUCAUCAGAGGAGGAGAAAGAAGA
rnacentral:misc_RNA from 1 species